GUGACGAUCUUUUGGGCGGAACCAAAAGUCGGGAAACUUUGGUUCCGCCCGGAUGUUUCCGUCCAGACCGAAGAACGGAAACACCGGACAUCCGGCAGAUUUGCGGAGGCUGUAAUCAGCCGAUUGGGCACAGCUGUGCCUAGUUAAAAGAGAUCGCCAGGCAAUUGGAUAACUGAAGCACAGAAAGGAGUAUUUAAAGCACAGUUAAAUGACAGUUCAGCAGUUCGGGCACGAGAGGGGGAUUUACACGGGGAGAGCUCCUCUGCUUAGGGCAGGAGAGGUAAAUACGUACCUUUUGAAGAGCCCGCAGGCUCUGUUGAUCCGGGCUGCGCUAGAAGCGCGCGGAAAGAAGACAGGAGCUGCCUGGGGUGAAAGAAAGGCGAUACGUGAGUGGAGAAAAGGAGCACCCCGAAGAGAGCAUUGUGCUGUCAAGCCUGCGCUUAGUGUGUGCUGGGAAACGGAGCUGUGCUCAUUUUUGGACGUGGUGGCUGUCUGUGUUUUUCUCUCUCUCUCUCGUUUCAGUCUGUAUUGUGGACCUGCUGGAGUCAAUAGAAAAGCCCUAUGGGUAAGAAGGAACUUUGUUCUAACCAACAUUGAAGGAGUAAAGCAGGAAGAGAUAUUGACCGUUUGGUACAACGUAAAUAAAGGCUAUCCGCCGUGAGUAUACCCUUUCUGUGUGGAGUAACUUGCAAAAAUUAACUUGUGUAACCAUUGGAAACCUCCAGGAGAAGGAGGGCGGCCCUACCCCUACAAGAGUGUGGUGGGCGAGCCGUUAGCAGUACAAAGUUCAAACAGCCACCGCUACGAGACUUAUUGUGGUCGUAUUUCCCAUCGCCUUACCUUAGCCCAAGCGCAGUGGAGGACACCGGGCGCUUCCCUUGUUGUGGUGCACUUAUAGUGUGAGUCAGAGGCGAAAGGGUCCGCCGCCCCGUGGUCUCUACGAAAAGGGCGCCCCCGUCAAGGAAUCGAUCGGCCUAUGGGCAUUGGAGAUAGGGCAGCGCUCGACCGGGUGAGGUGGUGUGUGACCUUCGCCCCUCUGCUGACCUACGGAGGAGAACGUGAUACCUACCCAGAAAGUUGUAAACAGCAAAGCCGGUGAGAAAUACUCGAAGUCUCAGUAACAGUGUCUUUGUGUCCUGGCGGCCACCUGUGGAGAGAGAGCAGAACGAAAGUGAACCAUUGAAGAGCAGACUGUGAACGUGAUACCUACCUGAAAAGCUGUAAACAGCAGAGCCGGUGAGAAAUACUCGAAGUCUCAGUAACAGUGUCUUUGUGUCCUAGCGGCCACCUGUGGAGAGAGAGAGAACGAAAGUGAAUCAUUGAGGAGCAGACUGUGAACGUGAUACCUACCCAGAAAGCUGUAAACAGCAGAGCCGGUGAGAAAUACUCGAAGCCUCAGUAACAGUGUCUUUGUGUCCUAGCGGCCACCUGUGGAGAGAGAGCAGAACGAAAGUGAAACAUUGAAGAGCAGACUGUGAACGUGAUACCUACCCAGAAAGCUGUAAACAGCAGAGCCGUGGCCUCCUGUGGAGAGAACGGAAAACGAGAAGGAACAUGAGGAAAAUGGACUGUGUGAAGAUACAGUGGUGGUGGAGGAGAGCCUAGAGUGGCCAUUGUUUUAAGUCCCCCGUUCCCCUUCCUUAUUUAAUGCUUUUAAGUAAUUUAAUAAAGGAUAUUUUAAUUUUA